rnacentral:rRNA from 1 species
CUCAUAUUGAACGCUGGCGGCAGGCCUAACACAUGCAAGUCGAACGGUAACAGGAAACAGCUUGCUGUUUCGCUGACGAGUGGCGGACGGGUGAGUAAUGUCUGGGAAACUGCCUGAUGGAGGGGGAUAACUACUGGAAACGGUAGCUAAUACCGCAUAACGUCGCAAGACCAAAGAGGGGGACCUUAGGGCCUCUUGCCAUCGGAUGUGCCCAGAUGGGAUUAGCUAGUAGGUGGGGUAAAGGCUCACCUAGGCGACGAUCCCUAGCUGGUCUGAGAGGAUGACCAGCCACACUGGAACUGAGACACGGUCCAGACUCCUACGGGAGGCAGCAGUGGGGAAUAUUGCACAAUGGGCGCAAGCCUGAUGCAGCCAUGCCGCGUGUAUGAAGAAGGCCUUCGGGUUGUAAAGUACUUUCAGCGGGGAGGAAGGGAGUAAAGUUAAUACCUUUGCUCAUUGACGUUACCCGCAGAAGAAGCACCGGCUAACUCCGUGCCAGCAGCCGCGGUAAUACGGAGGGUGCAAGCGUUAAUCGGAAUUACUGGGCGUAAAGCGCACGCAGGCGGUUUGUUAAGUCAGAUGUGAAAUCCCCGGGCUCAACCUGGGAACUGCAUCUGAUACUGGCAAGCUUGAGUCUCGUAGAGGGGGGUAGAAUUCCAGGUGUAGCGGUGAAAUGCGUAGAGAUCUGGAGGAAUACCGGUGGCGAAGGCGGCCCCCUGGACGAAGACUGACGCUCAGGUGCGAAAGCGUGGGGAGCAAAACAGGAUUAGAUACCCUGGUAGUCCACGCCGUAAACGAUGUCGACUUGGAGGUUGUGCCCUUGAGGCGUGGCUUCCGGAGCUAACGCGUUAAGUCGACCGCCUGGGGAGUACGGCCGCAAGGUUAAAACUCAAAUGAAUUGACGGGGGCCCGCACAAGCGGUGGAGCAUGUGGUUUAAUUCGAUGCAACGCGAAGAACCUUACCUGGUCUUGACAUCCACGGAAGUUUUCAGAGAUGAGAAUGUGCCUUCGGGAACCGUGAGACAGGUGCUGCAUGGCUGUCGUCAGCUCGUGUUGUGAAAUGUUGGGUUAAGUCCCGCAACGAGCGCAACCCUUAUCCUUUGUUGCCAGCGGUCCGGCCGGGAACUCAAAGGAGACUGCCAGUGAUAAACUGGAGGAAGGUGGGGAUGACGUCAAGUCAUCAUGGCCCUUACGACCAGGGCUACACACGUGCUACAAUGGCGCAUACAAAGAGAAGCGACCUCGCGAGAGCAAGCGGACCUCAUAAAGUGCGUCGUAGUCCGGAUUGGAGUCUGCAACUCGACUCCAUGAAGUCGGAAUCGCUAGUAAUCGUGGAUCAGAAUGCCACGGUGAAUACGUUCCCGGGCCUUGUACACACCGCCCGUCACACCAUGGGAGUGGGUUGCAAAAGAAGUAGGUAGCUUAACCUUCGGGAGGGCGCUUACCACUUUGUGAUU